CAGAGCUCUGGCAUCCUCUUGACAUCGGCGGUAGUGGCUGCUCCGGGGCCGCCAUUUCCCUCGCAGAAACUGCAACACUGAAAGAGAAAGAAGAGGCCGCAGGGAAAAUGGGCUAAUGGGCAGAAGCUGAAGAUAAACGAGUCAUUUUCCGCCUCGCGCUAAGGAUUCUGGAAAAAGGGAAAUACCGCGGUAGAGUGUCAGUUUCUCGCGAGACUUGCAUCCGGGAUAAGCGACUCCUUUUCAGAGACCGCUCCCCAGAAUGAAGACCUUGGUUCUAAGCAAAGGGAAAGCAAAAUGGUUUUAAAUUCCAGGUAGUUGCUGAAGAUUUGGAGACAGCAGUGGGAUCUGAAGCAAACCUCCAUCAAAAUUCGGGGACAAUGAGAAACAGAAGCAUAGUGCCUACGAACCUUGUUGAAUUUACUCUCUUUCUCACUGUUUUGAAACGCCAUUGCUUGGAAAAAAAGUCCGUGGUGAAUGAGAAAGAGUAUGCUUGUAAUGCUCUAAGGU